rnacentral:lncRNA from 14 species
CUUGCAUUAAGAUGUGAAACAGAAUUGGGUCCCUGUGUCUUUAAGUUGUCCCCAGGUCUGCUUUUACAGGCUCUGGCCAGAGAGAGAACAUUGCUUCUGUGUAGGAAGAGCAUGAUUCAAUACAUAAACACUGAUCCAUUCAGUCACACAAGUAGACUGAAAUCUCUUGCCUCUGACAAUUUACCUCCUGGGUACUCACUUCUGUUGGCUGGCAGAGCACUGAUAAGCUGCUCUGACCUGUGGAUUAGAAAGCGCCACACCUGUUAGUCUAAGCUAAGCAUGCUGUCGCAGUUAAAGAGAGGUAGGCUUAAAAGUUAGAAGCUGUCUUCUUCGUUCUGCUUGUCAGCUGUGACACUGAGGAUAUUUGUUCAGCUCUCCAUGUUUCCUUCUUCCUCGUUGCACAGGGGCUACAAAGCACAAGAGCAGCUCUAAAGAUGAGGUGACUACUGUCAUCAUGUCUUUGCCUUUCUCUGAGCACGAAGAGCUAUGGAAAAGCAGCAAGUGUGAGCAUUGCAAUACACAGCUACUAUACAGCUCUGUUGUGCAGCAAAAUAGCAUUAAAUGAUUUCAAAUUAUGAUGCGCAGAAGAAAAGGUUAAUGGUUUUAAUGAGGGUGAACUAGCACAACACAGUGUGGCUUCCCAUGUGUAUGCACUGGACUAAAGUUAAGUCCUUGCCCACAGACAAGGACUAUCAGUCGUGAUAGUCUGUGAGAUCUGAGUCCACGGAUGAAAUGAAAGUUCCGUCACCCAAGAGGAGUGUAAACCUCCUUCUAGACACUGCUGAUGGUUGUCUUUAUUUUGUGAAAAUACCACCAAAAUGGGCACUGGGAUCCUGCUGGGCACAUGGAUCUUUAAAAAAGCCUUCUACACCAAACUUGAAAGAUGUCAUGAGCUGGGAGUGGAACUUAGACCACUGUAAUGGAUUUGUGCAGAAGGAUGAUGAUGAGUACCUUGUAAUUGAGCAGAGUGGCAACUACUUCAUCUAUGCUCAGAUCAACCGCAAACAACAUAUGGAAGUGUCUUUUACACUGAUGAUGUACAAAGAGCCAGACAUCCUCCUCAACAAGGUUGUAGGACCAAAGGAGGGAGAUGAAAGGGGCACGGUAAAUUUUGGAAGACCCUUUUUUCUGCAGAAGGGAGAUAAACUGUACUGUCAGGGCAAUUUUAAUCUUAACUAUAUUCUGGAAGGGAAUCAGACUUAUUGGGGCUUGUACAAAAUAUAGCAGGACUCUGCUUUGCAUCAGCUUCUCCCUCAUUCCCUCCAGGAAACCUUAGGGCAUGGAUGAAGAAUCUGUAGUUUCUCUUCGUAUGAAAUUCAACUUACUCGGGUAUACACCAUUGUAAGCUGGUAUCAUGCAGAGUAAGGUGUAAAACAAAUUAAAAAGCAAAUCUUGGUAAUAAUGGAUAGCACUUGAUCAUCAUGAAGUAUGAGAGAAAGAUGCUUCUGGGAAGAAAAAGUUCUUGAUAUGCUAUGGGGGUGACUCCAAUCCUGGAAAAAAAUCACUAUAUUCACUCUCUUCUGAGCUGGGGAGGAACUCUGUCUGCAGUGGGAUGCAUCUCAGAGCUGGUACGUUUGUACUUUGGGUUCCUUCCAACAAACAGUGCUAUGUAAAAGCUAAGGUAUUCUAUACCCUUCCUGCACAACCUGUCCGUGAAGCAGUGUCUAGAGCACAGGGAUGAAAUAGUUCAGAAAUGGUCUGUGACCAGAAUGAAAGCUUCUCAGACCCAUCCACAGCCUUGCCACUAGCUUCCCUGUGGAAGCUCCAUAUUCAUGGGUAGUUCAGAGCAAAAGAAACUUUCCAGUCAAGCAGAAGCAGUACUGCACAUCUGUGAAUUCCUGUCAACUCCCUGCCAUGGUCCAGACAGGCACACCACAGUGAGCUUGUGCAUCCAGCCAGUGUCCCUGCUUUGCAUCCAGCUGUCAUAAAGGGUGCAUCACUGCUGACUGAGUAGCACAGAAAUGUGUGAAAGUUGCUGCUUGUAAGUAGAGAUUGCAGAGAAGAAAUAAUGACAGAAGAUGCAUGAGGACAGUGGGCACAGAGUAGAAAGCAGAGGAUAAAGGAUCUGAGGAUUUGAGAAUUGUUCUCAGCAUUUUUUACUUUGCUGUAUAGCAGAUGUUGCAAGCAGGUCAGGGCAGAGCAGACACAACUCUAACAUGAAAUGGGAAAGGCCUGAGCAUUCCUCCCUAAACACCUCCUCACCACAGACACAGCUUUGAUAUCCAGCACAAAGCAUGACCUGUGCCAGUACUGCAGCUGAGAGGUGGAAACAUGAGGUAGCAGGACAGCUAGGAAGUACUAAGACUGCUCACUGUGAGGCCUUGGCUACCUGCUGUAUUUCCCAGGAUGAGCACUGAAUCACCUGCAGAUCAUGGGAAGGUCGCAAGUUCUCAGCAAAUUGCUCUUAGAAAAGCAGGCUUUUGGGGCUGCAUCUAGCUUCCCCAUGGCAUGGCUCCUUCUGCUUUGCUUGGGCAGGCUUUCCCAGGGGCUCUGUGCUUUGCUCUCCUGCCACCCAGACCUUCAUGGGUGAAAACUUCUUUACCAUUUCUCAGAACAUGUCACAGCUUUGUGGAUGGAUUUUCAUGGGAAAGCAAAGCAACUGAGAAGCCAGCUGGAAAUAAACAAUGAUUUGGUGUGGGCUGGGGCA